GUCCGGACUCCUACGGGAGCCGGACUUCGCCUUUGACUUUAAUUGCAGGAAGACUCCGCCCGGACUCCUACGGGAGCCGGACUUCAUCCUCAACUCCAACAGCUACAAGCCGACUUCGUCCGGACUCCCACGGGAGCCGAACUUAGCUUCGACUUCAGCGGAGAAAAAACUCCAAGCGAAAAAGAAAGACAAUGGAUUGCAACAGUGACGAUUGGAAAACAAACAGCGCCCG
rnacentral:lncRNA from 1 species